rnacentral:rRNA from 1 species
AUGGCGCAGAUGCUUCGCCAGUCGCAGCUCGACGUGGCAAACUCGGUCAUGGAGAGGCUACCCGACAUACUCGAGAGAGUCUUGGGGGAGCAUUUUGGUGCUUUCAAGAGUUCUAUUAUGGGAUGCAUAGAAGAUAAGGUUCAAUCAAUUGUACAGACAAAGAUGCAGGAACAAAAAGCCGCUUCGCUUCCUAGUGCCGUUUAUGAGCCUCCUCCUAGGCAUGUAUCGGAGGGCUUUCCUGAAACUGGAAGCGACACUGGAGUCGUCAAGCUACGCUUUGACGUUGCAGGACCAAAAGAUACACUUUUCACUCGUUGUCCAGUAUGGAAGAAUGGGGCAAAUGCUAAAGUAGCAAUACUUCAAAAUGAGACGCAAAUCACGCAGGGUGAUCUUUCUAAAUUGCAAAUUGAGAUUCUACCUGUUCAUGCUGAUUUCUUUACUGGACAAGAGGAUUUCACCAAAGAUGAAUUCAACAAGCAAAUAUAUAUGUAUAAAGGGAAAGAGUCGGUCUUGGCAACUGUUAGUCUAUCAAACGGCGAGUCCUCUCUUGGUUCAUUCUCCUUUCCAGAGAGCUCCCACGGGAAAAAGUUAAGAUUAACAGCUCGAGUGAAAAGGCAGGAUCUUACUGUCAGAGUUCAGGAAGCAAUAACUGAUCCUUUUGUCGUCAAAGACCGCCGAAGUGAAUCAAAUGAGAAGAGUCCUAUUCCAUCCAAGGAAGACGCUAUACAUCAACUGAAGAAAAUUUGCUUAAAGGGAAAACAUUGGAAUAACCUUGUGGAGAAAAAUAUUACGAAAGUGAAGCACUUGUUGCGCCAUUAUCAUAAAGAUAAUUUCGGUCUCCAAAAGCUUGCUGGCAUGAAGAAGGGGGAUUGGAAUACCAUGAUUGAACAUGCUACCAUGUGUGUUCCUGGGGAUGAGAUCUAUUCCUAUUUGGUUCCAGAGGAUAAUUGUCAAAUCUUAUUCAAUGAUUUCUAUGAUCUUGUCGGUAAGAUGACUGAUAACUAUGUUCCUUACAGUGUCAAUGACGCCGAUCAGUUUCCACAGCAUAAAGUGAAGAACUGGAAAAUGUCUGCAUACAAGAAAUUUGAGGAGCUGGAGAACUCAGGGGGUCUUAUCCCUGAUUAUUUCCUGAGUAACGGCCACCUUGUCCCAGCAGCGCCUCCCAACAAUGGUGCCAGUACUUCCAAAAAUCAAACUACUGCAGAAUUUGGUGAGCAACAACCAUUUCUGCAGGAGAGUGGAUUCCCACUGGCACAGAUCUUUGCAAAAAAUGUUGCUGCUCCUUCGAAUCAAGAAGGACCACCAUUUACACAGUGCAGUUACGAACAGGUUGCACAUCAAGAACUAUAUCAGCAGGAUCCUUCUAUACUGUGUAAUGGAAUUCCUCCCUAUUUGACCCAUGGAAACAUCAAUGGUCAGGGAUCAUUCUCAGCCUGGUCAAUCAGCCCAUCCCACAAUUUUGCACCAGCUGAAGAGGAGAAUUCAAUGACUCGUGCAAAUCUAACUGCCCAACACAAUGGAUACUCAAGCUCCUUGAUGACUGCUGCUCCUGGUGGAGUUAGUCAGGGAACCUCUUCACUUAACCAUGAUCAAGCUGGCAUCAGCGGAUUAUAUCCAAUUGAAGAAUGGCUAGGAGUAGAAGAAGCACAUGUGGCAGAUCAGGACUUUAUACCAGCUGACAACGCAGAACUGCCGAAUUCUAACAACCAAUCUGAUGGUUAUGAAUAUGCUGGUGGCAACUGGUGA